UAAUGCCUGCUUUAGAGACCACCAGUGAGUUUAUAGGCUCCAAGUCAAAACUUCUCAGCAGCUCACCCAAGAAUGCUGUUUCACUAACAUAUCCAACUUCAUUUUGCUAAACAAUACAGCUUUGGAAAUCUAACACCUCUGUUAAACUACUUCAGUUACUCUGAGCAGAUACUUUUCUGUUCCAAUGAGCCCCACCCCUGUAUUAGCCAGAAAACCAACAUCAGGUGUUUCAAGUUAUCUGGAGGAAAUGGUUCUCUCAUUCUUUUCACAUGUUACCUAUCCUUAGCUUUGCUCAAUACCAGACUGAAGAGAGGAAACAUUUCUGAAAGCAUCUCCAUUUGUCUGAAAAACACAGCAAUUCUUACUAAUUUUUCCUUCUACCUGAUUUAACAACCCCAUCAAAAAGAUCUCUGCUACUGUGCCCACAGCAAUGUUCAGCAACUGGUAUUUAGUACUGCACUGGAUGCCGAAAUGCCUUCCUGGAUUUGACAGAUUGUAGAGAGCUUGCUUACUCCAGUUCACUGGUCACUCUGAUGUUAGCAUUGCUACACCAUCAUAGAUGAAUUUAAAGAUUCAGAAGAGAUCCAGUAGAGUCUCCUUCGGCUUUCCAACCAGCUAAGCCGAUUGCUUAGCUUCGCGAUGGGGGACCCGUAUUCCAGAGGGACUUCGGAUGCGCCACAUCAUAAAUAUACCUCCAAAGACCUUUCUGUUCCUCUCGUGGGAAAAACGGACACAUGGAGGUUGUGGACUUCUGGUUGUGGGUCUCACGGCUUGAAGAUCAUAAAAAAAAGGUCGCACCUGCCCUAAAACAGGGCCUAGAGGAAGAACAAUACAAAAACAAAGAAAACAAGUCCUCGACUGGUAGUAGGAGAUGAAACCGUAUCCGGUGGUCUCACUGAGUGGAUCGGAACUUUGCACUAAUUCUCUGAAGCAGGUAUACAUUUAAAAUUCGCCAUAAAGGGGGAUUUUGCUUCUUUUUUUGUUGAAACUGAAUAUUUAACCUCAUCAACUGCAAACAUUAAUGAAUUUGGAUACUUCCUCUGGAAUUGUAUCUGUUUUUCGAUCAAAAACUUGCAAUAAGGAGAUAGAAGUUGUCUGGCUUGCCUGAUAUGAAGGGGGUAAGUCUUGUGCCAGGGAAAGUCUAUUGUUAUUCUACAUGAAUGGACCCCCAUUUUUCUUUACAGUUAGUAGUAUUUUAUUAACAUCUUGGAAGUUGAGAAUUUUUGCAUAAACAGGUCUUGGAACAUUUCAUGCUUGAGAUUCCCUUAAAGAUCUGUGGGAUCUCUCAAUUGUUAUUUGAUGUGCAACUUUGGGGUCAUUGAAUAAUGUUGUAAAUAUUUGUAUGAUGGAUGGAAUUAGAUCAUUAUAUUGUAUACUUUCCAGCAUUCCUCUGAUGAUUAUAUUAUUUCUUCUGGAUCUUGCCUCCAGAUCAAUGAUUUUAGUUUGCAUAGAUUCAAUGUCUGCUUCAUGUGAGUCAGUUUUUUUGGCAAGCAGGGCUAUUUUGUCUUCAUUGUCUGUGAUUUUGGCUUCCGAUUUAUCCAUUCUUUCCAAGAUUUGAGUAAAGGCAGUACCAAAGGAUUGUACUUGAUUAGAUAAUUAUUUUAUAGCACCUUGAAUAGGUAGUAAAGCUGCUUUAAUGUCAUCCAUAUUUGCUAAUUGCUCUGGUUUACUUUUAUUCCCUUAUUUCAAAGACUCUUGUUGCUUUGUGAUUUUCUGUCUUUUCGAAAUUAAAUCUUUCUCCGGUGAUAAGAGUUCUGAAAGUUUAGUUUUUGUUGUAGUUGUGUCCAUAUUUUCAUCUUCUUUUGACAUUUGUAGAAACACAGAUUCUUAAUAUAUUUUCAGAUAUAACUGAGCCGACUGUUCUGAGCACAUGGCUUCUUUGUUUGAGACUUCCUUUAUUUUCAGGUAAUCACUUGUAAUCCAGCUAGAUUAGUUGAUUUUCCAGUUCACUCACCCCUUCUGCAA